AAUCUGGUUGAUCCUGCCAGAGGCGACCGCUUUUGGAGUUCGAUUAAGCCAUGCGAGUAGAAUGAAUUAGAUCAUUGCGAACUGCUCAGUAACACGUGGAUAACCUGCCCUAUGCUCUGGGAUAACCUUGGGAAACUGAGAAUAAUACCGGAUAGAUCACAACGCCUGGAACGGUGUGUGGUUCAAAGGUCACGGCAUAGGAUGGGUCUGCGGCGUAUCAGGUCGUAGGGGGUGUAAUGGACCUCCUAGCCAUCGACGCGUACGGGUUGUGGGAGCAAUAGCCCGGAGAUGGAUUCUGAGACACGAAUCCAGACCCCACGGGGUGCAGCAGGCGCGAAAACUUCACACUGCAGGAAACUGUGAUGAGGGAACUCCAAGUGACUACACAUUUGUGUAGCUCUUUUCUUAACUAUUAAUCGGUUUUGGAAUAAGGGCUGGGAAAGACCGGUGCCAGCCGCCGCGGUAAUACCGGCAGCUCGAGUGGUCGUCGCUUUUAUUGGGCCUAAAACGUCCGUAGCCUGUUUGGUAAAUCUGUGGGUAAAUCAACCAGCUUAACUGGUUGAAUUCUGCAGAGACUGCCAGACUAGGGACCGGGAGAGGUGUGGGGUACUCUAGGGG
rnacentral:rRNA from 1 species